UGUAGAUUUCACUCCGUCCGGGGUGGAACCCCGUGGCGGCGGAGGCGGGGCUGCAGGCUGAGGGUCUAGGGAAGCGGCUGCGACCAGGGUGGAGGAGGGGUGCAGCCGGCUAGGGAAUGGGGGCCCGAGACCGGGAAAGGAGAGGUCGGAGCGCUAGGCUGAGGAGCUGAUGACUGAAAGUAAAUCGAAAAGGAAAAGCCAAGUGCGCUGUCCCCCUUCCGGCUAUCCAGGCUUGGGGUGUUUGCAAAGCCUACUGUAGCCGAGAGUCCUACUGGACUCCUCAUCGGGGGUGCGGUGGGGACGGACAAGGGGGAGGGAACGCGAGCCCGGCGGCCACCUCUUACCGCCACCUUCCACCAAGCGCUUCGUGUUUGCCGAGAGAAAGCGACUGCUGCGUUGGAGGGAGGAGAAGCGCUCUUUCGCCUCCUCCCAAAUCCGGCUGGUUUCCUUCACGGACGUGACCUCGGGCUCCAAACGGAACCCGAUUUCUCCCUAACCUGGCAUCGGAUAAACGGACGGUUCUGGGAGGCUUGUGAUCCCCCGAGUGCCACCACCCCUUUGUAAUUUCACACCCACUUUCUGGAGCAGUACUUGGGCGGGGGGAAGGGUGUCCUAACUUGUCAGAUUCUCUGAGGGAUCCCUGAUUGAGCUGUCUUCUCUGCACCGCAGCGUCACCUGCUGCCAGGUGGUAAGAAUAAGGCGAGAGCAGUGGCUCCCGCUCGAACACCUGGCUGAGCGCAGGUGCUGGGCUCUGUGGCGCGAGCUGUCCGACCCUCGGGACUCGGUUUCCUCCAGGACAAAGAGUGGCUGAUCUCCAUGAAGCGCCACGCACACUCUGGUGCAGGAUCGCGCGUCCGGAAGCGGUUCUCCCGGAAGCCGUUGGUUCCGCCAGACCCACGCCCGACCCACGCAGGUCCUGCUGCUGCGAAGUUACUAUUCAUUCGCACGCGCGUGCACGAGCGUGCCCUUGCCCCCGCCAGCGCAGCCGCGUAAUCAAGGAGGGGAUUGUGCACGCGUCCCCCAGGCGGCCUCUCCCACUCCUGAAAGGCGCCUUUGUGGUGUGUUUUACACAGUUCUGACCUUGGGCCGUGAGUUGGAUGCGAACCAAAAAAUAACUGGCAUGGUUGCCGCCUCACAGUGACAACUGGGAAUGGAGUCAAGAUAGAAAUGAUGCGAAAGACACAGCAUGAGAGUAACACAGAACCCAGUUACAUUUUGGAUUAGAAGUGAGAUCAGAAGUAGAGUUAGAGAAUGAGGUUCAACCUGUCGAGAACAAAUUAGAUACAAUGGAAAUUAGAACUAUAAUAAAGGCAAUGUUGCCCUCUAGUGGUUAUCUGCGGGAAA